AAAGACUUCCUACCCCUCGUUAAAAGGAACUCAGAUACUAACCACAAGACAAGAUGGACGCGAAAGAAAUUUAAAGAAUAGUAAAUCCGAAUUGCUGAGGAAAACGAAUGGGAAAAAGGAAUUCACAAUUUCUCCCCCCAGUUGCUUUGACUCUCUGAGGCUCUGGUAUUCAGGGGGGCAGAAACUACUCCGAAAGGAAUCUAGCUUGAAAUUCAAGGAUUUUGUCGAUCAAUAAUAGCUAGACCUAUUAGAGUACAGUCCUACUUUCUUAUCGACGAUAAACUUUUGCAAAAGCUUUCACGAUACAAAUACGAAGUUCAUAAAACAUGACUUAAACAUAUUCUUCAUAAGAAUAAACUUAGACCACAGCUGUCCAAUAUAGCAAAGGUUGCAUCUUAUCAACACCUUAAGAACUGGUAGGGUAAAGUUGGACUAAUACUAAGACAACACUCCAAUGAAUGGAUGGAAAUGUGGUGUUGACGUCAUUAUGGAGGAUUAUCAAGAUUUUGAAUCCUUUGCAUUAUAUAAAAUGACGAAAAUAUUAAAAACAGUCUAAGCUGUGACCAUUUCAAUUGCUCUUAUAAGAAAUAUGUGCGUCUAUCCAUUCUUGCACUUUUUGUUUGAAGAUUAUUUCCUAUCUUAUCUUAUUGGGACACAAAGAUUAUCUUAUCUUAUUGGGACUGUAAACGUCGCGAAACCAAAUCCUUAAAAAAAAUUUAUUUUAAAUCGAAACCUUAAGAAAUUGAAGAAAGUGGUGACACUAGGCGGAUUCAGACGAUUGCUGCUUUGGCUUUAAAAUAUUUCAUUUGGCGUUAAAAAUAAAAUCUUGGGUUUUGGUGAUUUGAUAUAAUGCAAGCUCUAAUUCGUUUCAAUCAACAAGUGUUGUUACAUUCGAGGGUCCCAAAAGAUUCCCGUGAUUCGAAAGCCAGGAACAUAAAAUUAGCUAUCAAAAUCAGACAAUCUCUAUCGUCUUGGCUCAACAACAAAAUAGACUUACUACAAAGGUCAAGGGAUGAGAUUCUGGGAAAAUGAAUUUCGUCCUCCACAGCAGUUUUAUUAAAAGAUUGACAAUACGGACAUUUUCUAUCAAUCCUAGGAAUAGGAUUCUUCCCGUAUCUACCUGUUUCAAUCUUGAGGUUGUGAGCACUGGGACGUAGUUUUGCAAAGUUGGAUCGUUCCUUUUUGCUAGGUACCAAGUUUAAGUAUUGCUCAAACUUGUAAACAGUUUUGAAAGAUGGAUAUGUACAAAGCUUUUUAUUACGAAUAAUUUGUUCUUUUAAAUUUUCCAUAACUUUUGACCUGAAAUGAAAAGACACUUUUGAUUUCACGAUAGAAGAGUUAUCCGUUGUAUGUAUUCUGUAAAGGGUCAUCAGGGAACGGGCAAUACUGACCCAAUUAGAAACACCGGAAUCUGCAUCAUUAAUUAACAUUUGAAGAGCUUUGUAUGCAUAUCUGGAGGAAUCGAGAUUUAUCAAACGAAUAUAAAAUUUUAAGAUAUUAAUAUGUCUAUGUUCAAGCAACGAACAACGUCCCAACUCCGCAUAAACCCCAAGAGACGUUGUAGAUCCUUUAACACCUAGGGUUGACUUGCAAACCAUAAGAUGAAUUUUUUCCAGGCAUUCCCAUGUACCAAAUCCCCAUACAUCAGUGGCAUAAUUUAGGAUAGGAAGUAUUGUACUGUCAAAUAAAAAUAGAAACAGUCUUGGGUUGAAACCAUCCCAUUCGUUGCUUUUGGAUAAGGGAGCAAAGUAAGAUUUUUGAGCUUUCUGCUUAAUUAUAUCAACAAGAGAACUGUAGGAACCAUUAUAUUUAAAAGUAACUCCAAGGUAUUUGUAUUCAUUGCCUUCUUUGAUCUCUAGAUAUUGUACGCCGUAGACUUUUUCUCCAUAUUAAUGGACAUGCAGAACUGGUUUAGCUCGUUGAACUGGGAUUGCAGAUCUUCAGCAGAACUAGCUAAUAAAACUAAGUCAUCAGCAUAUAAAGGGUGCAGAUAUUUCCAUCACCCAAUCUGACACCUGUAGACAAAUCAUUAAUCUUUCAGUCUAAGUCAUUAAGAAACAGUGAACUAUUUUUUGUCGCCACCUUUAAAAAGCAAAACAAUGACACCCAUAGACCAUUCUUCUGGGAAGUCACCAGAAUCUAGAAUUUUAUUAAAAAGUUUAACAAAGAGAGUAAAUAACGGUCAUUUAAAUGUUUGAAAAGUUCAGCAUUCAACAAAUCAAGACCCGGUGCUUUGCCAGAUUUGAGUUUUUCAACCAUAUUCUUCACUUCCAAUAAAUCAAUUUGUUUAUUUAGUUUAGAAUCUAUAAGAGUGAAUAAGUCGUAAUCGGAAUCAUCAACAACCGCAAAGUGACUUGGGUUUCAGGGAGAGAAACAGGAGUUUUUUUACUAAGAAGAUAAUUGAAAAAGGCAAAGAUUUGCUCAUUUGAAAAAUCUAUUGACGAUUUACAUUGACAUUGAAAGAUUUUUCCAAAACUGCUUUGGACAUUCAUUUUUAAGUAGCCAAAGAUCUUCUUUCGCAUGUGUAAGGUAGGAAGCGCGUUUUCUUUUCAAAAGAGCUUUGUGUCUCCUUUUCUCUAAUUUGUAAACCUCAUGUAAAGUAUUAGAACGUAUUGGGUCAGGUUUAUUACGUCUCAGGGCUGCUUGUAAGUCCUUACGUGAAGUACUUAGCAGUUUUUUGCUGGAUUUACACUCGUUAUCAAACCAAACAAAAUGUUUUUUCUUCGGUACGUUACUAGAAAGAAUUUUCUUAGUCCUAAAACUACCUUCCGCAAUUUGAGUUAAAUGUUGGCGCAUUAAUGCAACAGUGUGGCCAAUAGACUUGUCAUCAAGAUCAGUUUCCAAAUUUUCGAUAAGAAGUUUAUUUUUCUGAUGGGAAUCAAAACUGGGGAUGUAUUGCUUUGUGUAAUUGCUCAUAAGAACAUCAACCCCUGAGGAAGAUACAUUGUCGGGCAUGCUAGAGCCAACUGUCAAAUUAUUACAAUUAACACUUUGCUUAAUCGAGAUCUCGAUAGGGGAAUGAUCAGACAGGCUACUCAUGUUCCCAACUUUAAGGCCACUAAUCAGACCAAAUGUUUUCUCAUUUGCAAGAGCAUAAUCCACGGUGCUGUCAUCUAGUUUCAUCAAGGUUUUCUGUUUCCUCUGUUCCCUUAUUCAUCUCUGAGAAAUGGGGGGAGUUAGGGUAGUACCCUUGAAUGCUAAGAGCUUAUAAACAUGAAUGAUAUAUCAUCGGUAUUACCAGCAUAGUUUUCAAAAGGCUGGAAAGGCUGUCCCAAAUCAUAAAAUAUCCUGAUUUUAAAUGCACAACUUCUCUUGUACUUAUUGAUGCACGUGUAAAAUGACCAGGCAUGAAUACUUUGCUUGUCAACUGUAAAUGUGUGCCACUGUUUAAAAAGGAAGUUGAUAUUUGAUUCAACUUAAUCUUUUUCUGUUUUAUAAUUUGUAAUAUUGUUGGCACAUUUAGUUCGUAUCCGUGAAGAGAAUUACAAGGAAUGACGUCAAUUGGCGACCAGCUAAUCAUCUUAGUUCUGUUAUCAUUUAUGCAGUCUUUCAAAGCUAAACUUUAUUUUUCAGCUAAUUUAAUGAUGCAAUCCUUGCUUCUUCGCAAACCUAAAUUUAUCAGCAUAACAUAGCACGGUCUUCCUCAAGUACAGUCUGUCCGAACGUAAAGCGAGGCCCAGCGCAGUCUUUUACAAGCAAAGACCGAGAAACAACUUUUUUUUGGGGGCAAGCCCUAAUGAACAAGUGUAACAACAGCCAUAUUUUACAAUUUAAAAGUAUUUCAAUUAUGCAACUCAAGGCCCCCAGCCCCCGCCGUUCCCCAGCAUCUCAAUCUUUACUUACUAGCACUGCCUGUCCUGAAUAAAUCUAAAUAACAACAAAAUAUCGACGAGCUACAAGAGUUUUCUCAAGCCUUUGAGCUGAUCAGUUAGCAUUCUUAAAUGCUUACACUCAUUUUUUUAUAAGAAACUGGCCAUAAGAAACUAGAAACUAGUAAUAAAUUUCAAAUUCUCUAUUGCUAGUUUUCAGUAAGAAAUUCUCGUUAUUGAUCUUGAUUAAUAAUAUUUAGUAUUAUUUUAUAUAGCUUGAUAUUAUAUUUUGCUACUAAGAUUGUGCCCACUCCUUUAUUUUUGAUAAAUUAGUAGGGUGGUGGGUUCGAAAAUCGUCUCGAUUCUCUCAGCCACCUAGGCAACUACAAUAACCAAAAUGUUAUUAUUUUAAUUAUUUUCAUAUUUUAUACACAGCUAAUUAAUUAUCAAAAUAAAUUGUAAACCAAAAUUGUUGUUGUUGAAUUUCAUGAAUUUGAAUUUAAAUUUGACUGAAGCACCAUUGAAAAAUGAGGUGUCGACUUUCAGUAAAGACAACUUCAAACUGUAUACAAAGAAGAAGUAUUCAAGAAGAAAUUGCCAGCAAAAAGACUAGGAAGAGUGUGACGAAGAGAAUCUUCACAAUUUACGGCGUUUUAAUUUACGACUACAAAGAAACAGGGUAAUCAUUCCGAUUAACAACUACUUCCUCCUUAACCUAUACUAGUAAACUAAGAAAAUUACAAUUUAAGCAAGGAUGUUAACGAGAAACAAGGCCAUUUUAGGCACGAAAUAAACUCUCUUUGCUUCCUGUUACAAUUCUACCAAAUUACUUAUAAACGAAUUUUUACUUAUAAACGGUGACUGAAUGGGUUAUAUCACAAUUCAAUCUUUUGUUUUAAUGGCUAACAGCGCAGUGAAAUGUCCAGUUCUUUGAGAUAGAAUAUAUUAAUGAUAGUUGAUUUAACAAAAAAAUACAGUGCGGCAUGACACUGUUAAUAACUUCAAAGAGCUAAAGGCAACCUACACGAAACAAGGUCGCUUGCCAACACGAGGUGGGAUGGCU